GACGAACGCUGGCGGCGUGCCUAAUACAUGCAAGUCGAGCGGACCAAAGGGAGCUUGCUCCUGGAGGUCAGCGGCGAACGGGUGAGUAACACGUGGGCAACCUGCCUGUAAGACUGGGAUAACAUCGAGAAAUCGGUGCUAAUACCGGAUAAUAAAAAGAACUGCAUGGUUCUUUUUUGAAAGAUGGUUUCGGCUAUCACUUACAGAUGGGCCCGCGGCGCAUUAGCUAGUUGGUGAGGUAACGGCUCACCAAGGCAACGAUGCGUAGCCGACCUGAGAGGGUGAUCGGCCACACUGGGACUGAGACACGGCCCAGACUCCUACGGGAGCAGCAGUAGGGAAUCUUCCGCAAAUGGACGAAAGUCUGACGGAGCAACGCCGCGUGAGUGAUGAAGGUUUUCGGAUCGUAAAACUCUGUUGUUAGGGAAGAACAAGUGCCGUUCGAAAGGGCGGCACCUUGACGGUACCUAACGAGAAAGCCACGGCUAACUACGUGCCAGCAGCCGACGG
rnacentral:rRNA from 1 species